rnacentral:misc_RNA from 1 species
GUUCAAAAAUGGCCUUUUUAGAUGGUAAUCCUCCUGAGAGACUUUGCAUGCCGAUUGUUGAACACAUUGAGUCAAAAGGUGGCCAAGUCAGACUGAACUCACGAAUAAAAAAGAUUGAGCUGAAUGAGGAUGGAAGUGUCAAGAGUUUUAUACUGAGUGACGGUAGUGCAAUCGAGGGAGAUGCUUUUGUGUUUGCCGCUCCAGUGGAUAUUUUCAAGCUUCUAUUGCCUGAAGACUGGAAAGAGAUUCCAUAUUUCCAAAAGUUGGAGAAGUUAGUCGGAGUACCUGUGAUAAAUGUACAUAUAUGGUUUGACAGAAAACUGAAGAACACAUAUGAUCAUUUGCUCUUCAGCAGAAGCUCACUGCUCAGUGUGUAUGCUGACAUGUCUGUUACAUGUAAGGAAUAUUACAACCCCAAUCAGUCUAUGUUGGAAUUGGUUUUUGCACCUGCAGAAGAGUGGAUAUCUCGCAGCGACUCAGAAAUUAUUGAUGCAACGAUGAAGGAACUAGCAACGCUUUUUCCUGAUGAAAUUUCAGCAGAUCAAAGCAAAGCAAAAAUAUUGAAGUACCAUGUUGUCAAAACUCCGAGGUCUGUUUAUAAAACUGUGCCAGGUUGUGAACCCUGUCGGCCUUUACAAAGAUCCCCAAUAGAGGGGUUUUAUUUAGCCGGUGACUACACGAAACAGAAAUACUUGGCUUCAAUGGAAGGCGCUGUCUUAUCAGGAAAGCUUUGUGCUCAAGCUAUUGUACAGGAUUAUGAGUUACUUGUUGGACGUAGCCAAAAGAAGUUGUCGGAAGCAAGCGUAGUUUAGCUUUGUGGUUAUUAUUUAGCUUCUGUACACUAAAUUUAUGAUGCAAGAAGCGUUGUACACAACAUAUAGAAGAAGAGUGCGAGGUGAAGCAAGUAGGAGAAAUGUUAGGAAAGCUCCUAUACAAAAGGAUGGCAUGUUGAAGAUUAGCAUCUUUUUAAUCCCAAGUUUAAAUAUAAAGCAUAUUUUAUGUACCACUUUCUUUAUCUGGGGUUUGUAAUCCCUU